GGGGUUGUUGCUCAGUGGUAGAGCAUUUGCCUGGCAUGUGUGAGGCACUGGGUUCGAUUCUCAGCACCA
rnacentral:tRNA from 1 species